rnacentral:rRNA from 1 species
AGUAGGAUAGGCGAAGCGUGCGAUUGGAUUGCACGUCUAAGCAGUAAGGCUGAGUAUUAGGCAAAUCCGGUACUCAUUAAGGCUGAGCUGUGAUGGGGAGAAGACAUUGUGUCUUCGAGUCGUUGAUUUCACACUGCCGAGAAAAGCCUCUAGAUAGAAAAUAGGUGCCCGUACCGCAAACCGACACAGGUAGUCAAGAUGAGAAUUCUAAGGUGAGCGAGCGAACUCUCGUUAAGGAACUCGGCAAAAUGACCCCGUAACUUCGGGAGAAGGGGUGCUCUUUAGGGUUAACGCCCAGAAGAGCCGCAGUGAAUAGGCCCAAGCGACUGUUUAUCAAAAACACAGGUCUCUGCUAAACCGUAAGGUG